AGACGAACGACGAAAAAGAACGUCGCAGUGCGAUGGAAAUGCGGCCGGUGAUACGGAAAGGAGGACAAAUCGCAUUUUCAAGCAAAGUUCCUCGAUCGAGAUCGUAAUGCGGCCCAUCUGGUAGCGGUUGGCCUGUCACGGUUCCAUGCUGUCGCACAUUCGAAAGGACGAUAAUGGCGGUGGUCCAAGAGCAAUUGUCCUUUCUCUGUAAACGACGCGGCGAGACACAACGUGGCUCGUUCGCACGGAUAUUACCGAAAAUCUACGUUAAGACCGUUUCUCGAUUUUACGAAUUCAAACGUAAAAUCAUUCGUUUAACUUUCUUUCGUCGUUUACGAUAUGUUUUAUUCUAUUUCUAUUUUUCGUUUAUUCGAUAUUUAAUAUGAUAUUUAAUUCCAUUUGUCAAACUAAUUGUGUAGAAAUUAAUAUACUCAUGUAAUAUCAUAUAUAUAAGCUUUUGUAUAUUGAAAAUACAAGAGAAUUUAUUGUCA